GCCCACGUAAUUUAUAAAAAACAAAAUAUUGGUCUUGUAAACCAACAAAAGAUGCUCUCUUGGGUU
rnacentral:tRNA from 1 species